rnacentral:rRNA from 1 species
GACGAACCACACAAACGUUAUUCGGAAUUACUGGGCGUAAAGCGCACGUAGGCGGAUAUUUAAGUCAGGGGUGAAAUCCCGGGGCUCAACCCCGGAACUGCCUUUGAUACUGGGUAUCUCGAGUCCGAGAGAGGUGAGUGGAAUUCCGAGUGUAGAGGUGAAAUUCGUAGAUAUUCGGAGGAACACCAGUGGCGAAGGCGGCUCACUGGCUCGGUACUGACGCUGAGGUGCGAAAGCGUGGGGAGCAAACAGG